rnacentral:rRNA from 1 species
GACAGAGGGUGCAAACGUUGCUCGGAAUCACUGGGCGUAAAGGGCGUGUAGGCGGGAAGGAAAGUCAGAUGUGAAAUCCCUGGGCUCAACCCAGGAACUGCAUUUGAAAACUCCCCUUUCUUGAGUGUCGGAGAGGAAAGUGGAAUUCCUGGUGUAGAGGUGAAAUUCGUAGAUAUCAGGAGGAACACCGGUGGCGAAGGCGGCUUUCUGGACGACAACUGACGC